GGGAAUGUGGCUUAGUGGUAAAGUGCUUGCCUAGCAUGCAUGAAGCCCUGGGUUUGAUUCUCAGUACCA
rnacentral:tRNA from 1 species